rnacentral:rRNA from 1 species
UAAUACAGAGGGGGCAAGCGUUGUUCGGAAUUACUGGGCGUAAAGGGCGCGUAGGCGGCCUGCUAAGUCGAACGUGAAAUCCCUGGGCUCAACCCAGGAACUGCGUCCGAUACUGGUUGGCUUGAAUCCGGGAGAGGGAUGUGGAAUUCCAGGUGUAGCGGUGAAAUGCGUAGAUAUCGGGAGGAACACCAGUGGCGAAGGCGACUACCUGGCCUGUUCUUGACGCUGAGGCGCGAAAGCUAGGGGAGCAAACGGGAUUAGAUACCCCGGUAGUCCUAGCCGUAAACGAUGGACACUAGGUGUUGGUGGUAUCAACCCCGCCAGUGCCGAAGCUAACGCAUUAAGUGUCCCGCCUGGGGAGUACGGCCGCAAGGCUA